UUGGGACAAUUUAUUAUGAAGAGCAAAAAUUUUUAGCAAGUUGGGACAAUUCAUUUUUGAAGAGCAACAAUGCUCAGAAACGUGUUACUUUGGACUACUCCUUUGUGAAAGCUCUCGGCCAACUAUCAUGUUUUGUUAUUGUUCAAGAUUUCAACAAAAAAAUUAAGAAAUCAGGAGUAUAAAUUUAUAUUUUCUUUCAUUUAUUGAGGAAAUCAUUCGUAAGGAAUUCGAGGACUCGGGAAACGUAUAUAACUCCAUCAACAAGGUACAGAUAGACAGAUUGGUGCGCCUCCCAGUAGGAUGCCAGAGUCCAGCAGUGAUUGUCACACUCCGCUUCUCCGGAGUUGUUUGUCAAAGUCAUUGAGUAGGAGACAUGCAUGCAUAUAUACAUAUAUGGUUAUGGGUGUGUCGGGGCCCUGUCCCGACCAGUUGACGCAUUGUAGUACUCUUAGAAGCUUACAGACUAUCAGUCAGUGUACAUAUGUUGUGUUUGGCCUUGCCGGACUUCUGACUAGUUAUCUUUCUUGGUUGUGGCCUUGUCGGCCCUAGUUAUGCAUAUAUGUGUUGUUGGGCCUUUUCUGCUUGCAAGUUGUCAUGAUAUACUUCUUACAAUUAUUAUUCAGCGGCCUUGUCGGCCUAUGAUUCGUAUUACAGAGUUUAGAUAUCACAGUUGGUUCGCUCGGCCCUUCGGGUGCUGGGUGCCGGCCACACCCCCCAAGGUUGGGGUGUACCAAUAUAUAUAUAUAUAUAUAUAUAUAUAUUCAUGUUCAAGUUAUACAUUCCUUAAUGUUAGAUGAUGCUCAUGUUUAUGUUCAGCUUACAACUUACAGUUUCAGUUCAAUUAUUUCAUGUGUCGUAUUUAUUUCAUUCAGUUGUUUUACAUACCAGUACAAUUCAAGUGUAUUGACGUCCCCAUUUUUUGCUUGGGGGCCUGCAUGUCACGAUGCAGAUUUACAGGACGACAGAUCAGCUCGUUAGGACUUUGCACGUAUCAGCUAUUAGUGAGCCCAUCUCAUUUGGGGUUUUAUCUCUAUUUAUUUUUAUUUCAGUUAUGCAGUUAAGGUAUGUCGGGAGCCUUGUCCCGGUAAACAGUUUAGCAGUCAGACUCAUGUCAAAGGUUUCAUAGACUAGAUUAGUUCAGUUAUGCCAUGUCAGAUGUUUAGAGUCGUAUAGCCAGUAUUGGCUCAGCGUUUAUUAU